UCUCUGUUAGUAUAUCGGUUAGUACACGCGCCUGUCAUCAUCGGUUGGCCGCGCGAAAGCGGGGUUCGACUCCCCGACAGAGAG